GGCGUGGCGCAGCUACACAUGCAGUCGAGCGGUAGCACAGAGAGCUUGCUCUCGGGUGACGAGCGGCGGACGGGUGAGUAAUGUCUGGGAAACUGCCUGAUGGAGGGGGAUAACUACUGGAAACGGUAGCUAAUACCGCAUAAUGUCGCAAGACCAAAGUGGGGGACCUUCGGGCCUCAUGCCAUCAGAUGUGCCCAGAUGGGAUUAGCUAGUAGGUGGGGUAACGGCUCACCUAGGCGACGAUCCCUAGCUGGUCUGAGAGGAUGACCAGCCACACUGGAACUGAGACACGGUCCAGACUCCUACGGGAGGCAGCAGUGGGGAAUAUUGCACAAUGGGCGCAAGCCUGAUGCAGCCAUGCCGCGUGUGUGAAGAAGGCCUUCGGGUUGUAAAGCACUUUCAGCGGGGAGGAAGGCGGUAAGGUUAAUAACCUUGGCGAUUGACGUUACCCGCAGAAGAAGCACCGGCUAACUCCGUGCCAGCAGCCGCGGUAAUACGGAGGGUGCAAGCGUUAAUCGGAAUUACUGGGCGUAAAGCGCACGCAGGCGGUCUGUCAAGUCGGAUGUGAAAUCCCCGGGCUCAACCUGGGAACUGCAUUCGAAACUGGCAGGCUAGAGUCUUGUAGAGGGGGGUAGAAUUCCAGGUGUAGCGGUGAAAUGCGUAGAGAUCUGGAGGAAUACCGGUGGCGAAGGCGGCCCCCUGGACAAAGACUGACGCUCAGGUGCGAAAGCGUGGGGAGCAAACAGGAUUAGAUACCCUGGUAGUCCACGCCGUAAACGAUGUCGAUUUGGAGGUUGUGCCCUUGAGGCGUGGCUUCCGGAGCUAACGCGUUAAAUCGACCGCCUGGGGAGUACGGCCGCAAGGUUAAAACUCAAAUGAAUUGACGGGGGCCCGCACAAGCGGUGGAGCAUGUGGUUUAAUUCGAUGCAACGCGAAGAACCUUACCUGGUCUUGACAUCCACAGAACUUUCCAGAGAUGGAUUGGUGCCUUCGGGAACUGUGAGACAGGUGCUGCAUGGCUGUCGUCAGCUCGUGUUGUGAAAUGUUGGGUUAAGUCCCGCAACGAGCGCAACCCUUAUCCUUUGUUGCCAGCGGUUCGGCCGGGAACUCAAAGGAGACUGCCAGUGAUAAACUGGAGGAAGGUGGGGAUGACGUCAAGUCAUCAUGGCCCUUACGACCAGGGCUACACACGUGCUACAAUGGCAUAUACAAAGAGAAGCGACCUCGCGAGAGCAAGCGGACCUCAUAAAGUAUGUCGUAGUCCGGAUUGGAGUCUGCAACUCGACUCCAUGAAGUCGGAAUCGCUAGUAAUCGUAGAUCAGAAUGCUACGGUGAAUACGUUCCCGGGCCUUGUACACACCGCCCGUCACACCAUGGGAGUGGGUUGCAAAAGAAGUAGGUAGCUUAACCUUCGGGAGGGCGCUACCACCUUGAUACC
rnacentral:rRNA from 1 species